rnacentral:rRNA from 1 species
CGCUAUCACUCCGUACGGGAGGCAGCAGUAGGGAAUCUUCACAAUGGACGAAAGUCUGAUGGAGCAACGCCGCGUGAGUGAAGAAGGGUUUCGGCUCGUAAAACUCUGUUGUUAAAGAAGAACAUAUCUGAGAGUAACUGUUCAGGUAUUGACGGUAUUUAACCAGAAAGCCACGGCUAACUACGUGCCAGCAGCCGCGGUAAUACGUAGGUGGCAAGCGUUGUCCGGAUUUAUUGGGCGUAAAGCGAGCGCAGGCGGUUUUAAGUCUGAUGUGAAAGCCUUCGGCUCAACCGAAGAAGUGCAUCGGAAACUGGGAAACUUGAGUGCAGAAGAGGACAGUGGAACUCCAUGUGUAGCGGUGAAAUGCGUAGAUAUAUGGAAGAACACCAGUGGCGAAGGCGGCUGUCUGGUCUGUAACUGACGCUGAGGCUCGAAAGUAUGGGUAGCAAACAGGAUUAGAUACCCUGGUAG